AUUUUCUCGCCGAAACGCCAAUGCCAGUAUAGACAGCAUUGACAGCUGAACCAAGCAGCUGUUUACGCUGCUGUAUCAAAGGGGCCUACGCUCGCCGCCCAUUUGGGAUACGAGACAAGCAGUGCACCUCGGAAGCUAAAUAAUGAGUCAGCGUGACGAUACGUAAAAAUACACCCAUCUUCGUGCCGGUGAGUGCGGAGGGCAGCUUUCCGUCGAAAACGGUAAAGAACGAGUCAUCAUCAGCCUGGUAACUCCCACUGCAGGGAACCUCCUGUGGAUGCUGAGUGAAUGGUGGCGGGACGUCGCAGACGCACUUCAUUGCAGCAGCUACACAACAUCCCAGAACUGGCGAAAGCAGCAACCCGCCCAUCCAUACAAGUCCCGGACCCCCAUGCAGCCCUGAGGGCGCCCACAACGAUGCGGAUGCCCGAGAUGGUGCCGCCGCCAUUGCCAUGUCGACACCUGUACGCACAUUGGGGACGGUCACCGAGGUAAUUUCAUUUCAGCAGACGGCUGCGAAAUCCAUCGGCGUUCACUCCUAGAGCCGGAAGUGGCACACAGAAAGCUGUUGCAGUGGUUUACCGAUGGAAGGCUUGGUGGUUAAUACGUAAAUGCCUGGAGAUAGCACUGUGGUGUUGCUUUUUAUAUUAGGUAACUACUGAUCUAAUAUUUUUGUUC